GGGUAUAGCUCAGUGGUAGAGUGUAUGCUUAGCAUGCACGAGGUCCUGGGUUCAAUCCACAGUACCUCCA
rnacentral:tRNA from 1 species